rnacentral:rRNA from 1 species
AUUGAACGCUGGCGGCAGGCCUAACACAUGCAAGUCGAACGAGUGGCGGACGGGUGAGUAAUGUCUGGGAAACUGCCUUGUGGAGGGGGAUAACUAAUGGAAACUGUAGCUAAUACCGCAUACCAUCGGAUGUGCCCAGAUGGGAUUAGCUAGUGGGUGGGGUAAAGGCUCACCUAGGCGACGAUCCCUAGCUGGUCUGAGAGGAUGACCAGCCACACUGGAACUGAGACACGGUCCAGACUCCUACGGGAGGCAGCAGUGGGGAAUAUUGGACAAUGGGCGCAAGCCUGAUGCAGCCAUGCCGCGUGUAUGAAGAAGGCCUUCGGGUUGUAAAGUACUUUCAGCGGGGAGGCGUUACCAGCAGAAGAAGCACCGGCUAACUCCGUGCCAGCAGCCGCGGUAAUUC